UCCAUUCCAAUAUUUAAGUUGGUUGUGGGUCCAGGUAGCACUCCUGGGGCACCUGUAGCAGGUAUUGGCAUGACAGGCAUAGUCUGGUUCAUGAUUGUAUUAGGCGUACUCUGUCCUACAUUCUGAGGACCAUGCACAGAACCACCAUUCUGAGAUGCAUCAGCUUCUUGAGAAUCUUGCCUUCCACCUGACUUCAUUUGCGAGUCGUUCUGAGAAUUUGCAUCGCUUCCUUCACUUGUGCCUUCGCUUGCGCUCUCAGCACUUUUAGAAUAAACUCCAUUAGCAGAUGCUCCACAUGUUUUACCGAGCUCAUUAUUCUUCCCUGUAAUCAUGUUUAAACUGCCC
rnacentral:misc_RNA from 1 species